ACGAAGCCUGCAAGACUUUGGCCCGGAUACAUUUUCAGUGUCUUGCAUAUUUAUUCACAUGUUAACACAUUUCACAUUAGCAAUUUAAUUGCUUCAUUCGAAUAUAAGCACAAAAUGUACACCUACCUUUUAACUUUCGGUUCAAUAAUCAUACACAAGGAACACAUAAUCUUUUCAUUAUCCUAGUUUCACUUUUAAUAACCAUUCGACUAUAUGCCAUAUUCACAAAUUAUUUCACACACAACCUCGAUCAAGUAGGAACAAUAGUCACAAUUCAUCUAUUAUACAAAUAUCCCAUUCUUUGACUUUGUUUCAUAAUAGCAAUUCUGUCACCACAUAUAUACCAUUCAAUUCACAUUCGACUUUAUAAAAACAAGUACAAUAAAAUUGUAUACACAUAUUACACACUUUCACAUCAUCACUUAAUAGUCAUUCGGCCACAUUAUAUACAUAAAUCAUCCAUUUCAUAUUCGGCUUUAUAGCCGAAAUUCAAUAUACUUAUUGCAAUUCGAACUUGUAAACGUCAAAUAAUUACUUAUCAUAUUAUAUAAUCUUAAGCGUGCAGCAAAUCAAAUAUAAUUACUUAAGGACUUACCUCGGAAGACGAUAAUCGGAACGAGACGACUAAUCGACCAUUUUGAUUUUCCCCCCGAUCCAAAUCCGAAUUCUACUUUUGCCAAUCUAAUUAAUAUCAAAAUUAACUCACUUAUUCAACAUUUCAUUAAAUUUUAUCUAAAGACACAUAAUUUGGGCAUUUUGCAUUUUAUCCCCUAACAUUUCACAUUUUUACAAUUUAAUCCCUAUUUCAAAAUAACACAAAUUACUCAAAAUUUCAUCAAACCCAUGUUAGGCCGAAUUUACCUUAGGUCUCUAGCAACCCAUUUCUUUUAUUUAUUUCAUGUUUUGACCCCUCAAUUUACAAAUUUCUAAAUUUAGUCCUUAAUACGCAUUUUUAUCAAAAAUCACUUAAUCAAACAUCAAAGAUUUAUUACUCAUCAUCAAACAACAAGAUACUCAAACAUUCAAUAAUGGCAUCAUCCAAAUACUUUAACAAUUUUAAAAUUAGAGGUACGAGCCAGCUAGAUUACGAAGCAACGAUCUCAAAAACGUAAAAAUUAUUAAAAACCGAGACGACAUGGACUUACAUGCAUGAACAACCAUGGCCGAACCUUCAAAGCUUUGAGAACAUUAUUUUCUUUCUCACAUUCGGCUAUUGAUGAAGAUGAUAGCAUGUAAUUUGGCUUUUGUUUUAUUUUAUUUUAUUAUAAUUACCAAAUACCAUAUUUAACCUUAAUAUACAUUAAUAAUUUCCAUUAUACCAAGCCAUGGAAUUCCACUACCAACAAUUAUGAAAUAAUUACCACUUAAGGACUCCCACUAUUUAAUUCCAUAGCUAUUUAAUAUCUUUAACUUAUAGAACACAACUUUUACGCUUUGCGCGAUUUAGUCCUUUUUGCUUAAUUAACUAUCAAAACAAUAAAAUUUUUCAACGAAACUUUAAUAUCAUCUUAUUGCCACUCCGUAAAUAUUUAUAAAAAUAUUUACGACUCGGAUUAUAGAAAUGAGGUCUCGAUACCUCAUUUUCUAAACCCACUUGACCUUAGGGUCAUACCACUUGAGCUUAAUAAAUCGCUUAUAAAACAAAAAUCACAAUAUCAAAAACCUUUUUUAAACUCACAAUUAACUCAUAAAUAUUAAAUAUAAUAUUUACAAACUUACUCAUCGGAUUUAGUGGCCCCGAAACCACUGUUCUGAUUAACCCUAAAAACGGGUUGUUACAAUUUCACAAAAUCAUUCCAUAAAACUAUAGACCAUAAAAAUAUAAUAAAAAUAUUUUUUCUACAUCGGAUUUGUGGUCCCAAAACCACUGUUCCGAUUAGACCCAAAAUCGGGCUAUUACACGAAACCACUGUUUCGGCUAGACCCAAAAUCGGACUGUUACAUACCACGUCUUUAGACAUACACUGUUUCAUUUAUCUUGUUGGCGAACUCUGCUGAAAGUCUUCUAGAAGACACUAGUUCGCCAUACUACUAGCGAACAGCCUACUUGUGAUGUCCAAACUCCCAGGCCCUAUCUCAGGAUAUUACAUGGCAUACUUAAACAUCGUAGACAAUAAUAGUAUGCUUGGAGUUUGGAACUUACCUAAAACUUUAUCGUUUUCAUAGCUUAUUCCUUUUCUCGAACACCAGAGCUUCCAUUCUCCUAGCAGCAACUUACAACCAAAAAUCUACUGGUUAAACUUGCAUUUCAUCUUAAAAGUUUAAACUUUCAUAUUAUGUAAAACCCUUAAAAUAAUUCUAAAGAUCCAUUACCUCAUGUCUUAAAUUUUAUGUAUACAGAAGGGUUAAGAACCUUACCCGCUUGCUAGUUUCCAUACUUUUUCAUCUUAAUCCUUAUGAAAUCUACUCCUGCAGAGCCUUCCAUGGCCUGCUUUUCUUCAAAACCACUAAAGAAGGUGAAGAGAAAAUCAAAUAAGGUCAGGGAGAAAAAUCAUCCCUAGGAUUUAUUUAUAGCCCUUCUUGCACUAUUAUCAACCUUAGGAGAACCAUUCAUAGCUAAUUAUUAUAUCAACCACUAAGGAACCGGUGGGUUCCAUCCUAACCGAAAUAGGUUUGGUUCUCAACCAUGUCUAGUUUAGUUCCCAGCCUUCCCGUUUCUUUUAAUGGAGGUCACCAACUUGAGAUUUCUUUCAAUUCAGUCCUCCAAUUAUUUCUAAUUUCCAAGUUAUUAGAAAUUUGGGUGUUACAAGUGUAAUAGGCCCAAUUUUCCCGGGCCCAUAAAAAACCAAAACCAAAAUAAAACAAACAAAGAAUUAAAAAAAAACCAAAAACAGUAAAAGUCCAUUGGUCCAAAAAGAUUAUUUACAACUUAUUUAAUCCAAAAAUAAAGGCCCAAAUAUUAAAGAAACCUGUACCCAAAAUCCUAUAGUCCCUUAGCCCAAUUUACAAACGGCCCAAAAGGCCUAAUAGCUUGAAAAUACCAGAAAUCUAAAGGUUUCUAGAACACACUAGUACUGCAAUCGAGCUUUCACGAGGGGUUUUCCUAUGCACGGCUACCACGAGCGGCUUUCUCCGUACGGCCGUUUCUCUACACCUACAAUAGAAUACACGAGAAGAAGCAGUAACAGAAUAUACAGCCAAAUGACAGAAGGAAAAUAUAAUUUUUUAUUUUUCAUUUAUUCUGUAAAUCUGGCUAUAAAAAGCCAUUAUCUGCACCUUGAUUUUUUACGCACACUAAAUCCUAAAAAGUGCUUCGAAAGCAAAUCUAUAAAGGUGAAUUUCUGUUUUCUAGUUGUUUUAGUUUUUCGUUGAAUCAUCUCAUUUUCUUUUUCAAUCUUUCGUUAUUGUAUUUAAAAAUAAAAGGGAAAGCGAAGGACGGGGUCUUACUUUGGGAAUUUGCCAUAGAUUCCUCUUUGCUUCAUUGAAAUCGAAGUCAGAGGAGGGAUCUUGAGGCUACAAAUCGUUUUCAUGGCUCGAAUACUCCUGUUGUCGGCGGCAGCAUGCUAGAUGAAACCCUAAUGGAAUGGGCUGAUAGCUUAGUGUUUUAAAUUAAAUGAUUUGCUGCAUUUUAAGAAGAAAACAAUUGAAAAAGGGGUUUUAACAGCAGUUUCAAAAAUGGCACCGUUUAAUGGGGUAAGGAUCCGCGCGUCAACCCGAUUAGCCGGCCAGAUCCGCACCUUUCUGCUUAAAAUGGGGAAAUUGCGCGCUGGAUCCUUCCUUCCGCGCGAAGCCUACUUUGUUUUUUUUUAAAUUUGGCUCUAUAAUUUGUGCGCCUUUUUAUUUUGGUCCGCGGUUCAGUGCAGCGUUUUCGGCUCAGGAUAUUUCCAAUUCUAGUCCUCGCACAUUUGUGCGCAUGGCGCAUUGAUCCUAUUUUACAAUUAUUUUAUUUGUAAAUUGUUUUUCUUGUUUUUUUUACUGCACAUACAUUUUCUUUUACAUGCUUGAUUAUUGGUUGUGAUAUUUCACAUUGCUUUGAUAAUUGAAUGUUGUUUUAAAAAACAUUAUUAUAAUCUUUUCUCGUUUAUUCUAUCAUUUUAAUAAUUGGUGU
rnacentral:lncRNA from 1 species